rnacentral:rRNA from 1 species
UACGGAGGGGACUAGCGUUGUUCGGAAUUACUGGGCGUAAAGCGCACGUAGGCGGAUUUGUAAGUCAGGGGUGAAAUCCCGGGGCUCAACCUCGGAACUGCCUUUGAUACUGCAAAUCUCGAGUCCGGAAGAGGUGAGUGGAAUUCCUAGUGUAGAGGUGAAAUUCGUAGAUAUUAGGAAGAACACCAGUGGCGAAGGCGGCUCACUGGUCCGGUACUGACGCUGAGGCGCGAAAGCGUGGGGAGCAAACAGG